GGGAGCGCUCCCCGGACCCGCGCGCGGCCCUCCCCGUGCGCGCUCCGGCUCCCCGCGCUUGCCUGGCGAGGCCCGGUCCCCGGGCCCUAUUCGGCCAAAACGGCCGCGGCUUCCCCGCGCUGGGGACCCGCGCGCGACCGCCGCUGUGCCGUGCCAGAAAAGGCUUGCCUGCCCCCCGGGACGACGGAGGGGGGGCAGGCAGAAAGGAGCUCCUAUUCGCUUCUCAUUUACCCAGCGACAAAGUCUGACGUCGCCGCAUCAGGUCCCCAUCCUAAGCAGUUCUCUCCCAGAGGUUUGAUAUCCCGUCUUAGCUGGGGCUGGGCAGAUUCAUGGUGUGAUCCAAAGCUGAGCGUCACCGACACAGAGUGCUAGUUUAUAGCAAGAACUGACUCCGGGGUACUCUCCAGUUCCAUGCCUAUGAUGUAGUCAUCAGAGUUGCAAAGGAUUUCUUUAUAAGGUUCUAAAAUUGGAUUACGGUGAUGGUUGUACAACUCCAAAUAUACUAAAACCAUGAACUUUCAACAGGCGACUUAUGUACAAGAUACAUAGAAUGGGCAAAGAAUGUAUGCUGUCAGCUGCAAGGCCUCUUGCCACCGCGGGACACCCGCCCCUCAGAUGACUUCCUGGAGGGGGCCAGUCGGUGAAUCUUUGCUGAGAGGCAGGAACAAGAGGAUUCAUCUGACUUAGCUGGAGAUGGCUCCCUUCCCCAUUUAUUGUUCCAUUCCUAAAGCUUCCCUCCUACCAGGCUCAGUGAGAGCAGAUGGGAAGAGGCACCCACCUCAGAGGAGCUCUGUGAAAAAAUUACUGAGACACUAAGAUGCUGUGAAUUGGGAAAGUUUGGGAACCUCAAGAUUAGAGCUAUACAAACUGUCUCAAAGGGCAAAGGUGGAUUUUAAUGGCUUAAGCUCAAUGAAUGGUUCAUACACUAAAACUCAAAGAGGAAAGGAAGGAUGUAUCCUAUUGGAAACUGAUGAUCUCAACUAAAAGAAAGGAGAGUAGCAGAGACUUCAGAAUGUUGAAAACUCUCUUAUCACAACAGAAGCUAAAAACUCUGAUGGCCAGAGUCAUAAAGACAAGAAACAGGAUCACAACAGCAAGGAAAAUAUCGAUAAAACAAUAACAGAAGAGAGAGAAAAUUUAUGUAAUUUGGGACAUUCCAGGACAAAGAAAAGAAGAACAGGAGGAGGAAAGUAAUGGUCUGCAUGAGGACAUGGACUACAGAAAAGUUAAUGAGUUGGUCAUUGUGUCAAAGGGUAUUUAAAAUUAGCCACUGAUGGGCUUCCCUCGUGGUGCAGUGGUUGGGAGUCCGCCUGCCGAUGCAGGGGACACGGGUUCGUGCCCCGGUCCGGGAGGAUCCCACAUGCUGCGGAGCAGCUGGGCCCGUGAGCCAUGGCCGCUGAGCCUGCGCGUCCGGAGCCUGUGCUUCGCAACAGAAGAGGCCACAACAGUGAGAGGCCCGCGUACAGCAAAAAAUAAAAAAAAUAAAAUUAGCCACUGCUCAAGAAGCCUGAAAUACCAUGACUCUUUUAGGUCAUAGGUGAAGGAAACUGGAUAAGCUUAGUGCAAAUUUGACAAAACUCUAAAAAUGUUACAUGACACUGUAAUGAGUUGGAAGUUGGAAAAAACUUUUCUAAAUUAUCAAUAAUGAAAAAACAAAUUUCUGCUAGACUGAAUUAUCUUUCUCACCUCCUUAUAGAAAGACUGCAGAAAAAAGUGGCUUAUCAUAUAAAGAGAUGACUACAGAUUUAGAAAAAUAUUAUACAUGUAUUUUAGGCAGCUCAUUAGGAAACAUGUUUUGUCAUUUUUCCCCCCUGGAUUUUGUGAUGUUUGUGGAAUUUUUCAGUUUUAGAAAUUAGUAUUUUAUUAUGAUUUCUUACUUCAUUGUAAACAAAUGUUCAAUCUGUGCUCAGUUCUUGUCUGUGAUUUUGAAUUUCUUUCAGUAAAAAGGGCCCCCAAAUUGUAUAAGCUUUAGGCCCCACAAGAACUGGAUCUAUUGCUGCUCAUCUGAUAGCAUCCUUUAUAGAGCAGUGUUUCUCAAGCCUUAAUAUGCAUUUGAAUCCCUUGGGGAUCUUGUUAAGAUGCAGCUCCUGAGAUUCUGUAUUUCUAACAAACUCCCAGGUGGUGCCCACACUGCUGGUCCAGGGACACACUUUGAGAAUCAAAGAUCUAGAACAAUGGUUCCUGUCUGGCUGUGCAUUGGAAUCACUUGUGAUGCUCUUAGAAAACACAGAUGCCUGGGCCCUACCCUUGAAGAUUCUUACUUAGGAGGUCUAGAUUGGGGCCCUUUAGCUAUAUUUUUUUCUUGUUUAAAAAUUCCUUAAGUAGGGAAAGAGACCCUUUGAUACACUGUUGGUGGGAAUUCAAACUGAUGCAACCAUUUUGGAGGUUGAUUUAGCAAUAUCUUCCUGGAAACCCAAAAGAAGCCAGCUUGUAAGGCAGUCUGGGAAAGGGAAUUUACAGAUUCCUACCCCAGGGUGGGAAAAAAAAAGUGUGGGAGGAUGGGGUUUGGCUGAGAGACAAUAGAUAUAUAAUUGGUACAGGGUGCAUUCUCUGUGACCCAGAACUUCCACUUCUAGGAAUUUAUCCUAGUAAUAUUUAUACAUAUCAAGACAUAUGCUUAAGAUUGUUUAAUUCCACAUUAUUUGUAGUUGGGGAAAACUAACAGUAACCUGCCCAUCAAUAAAUUAUUCAAAUCAUGAAACAUCUUUACAAUGAAAUAAAAAUAGCUAAUCUUAGUUAAGCAAUUACUAUGUGCCAGACAUUGCUCUAAGUUAUUUAUAAAUAUUAACUAAAUUUGUCUUCACAAUUAUCAUGUUUCCAUUUACAGAUGAUGUAAUUUAUAUGUAUUGACAUGGAAAGCUGUCCAGGGGUAUAACAGGCAAAAAGCAGCUAGGAGAACAUUACAUAUAGUAUAUCAUGCAUAAAAUGAUAUAUUAAAAUAGCAAAAAAUGAUAUAUUAAAAUCUGAGACACAAUCCCAGUAGAUAACUACUGAUCUAGAAUAGGAAUGAAAGGACAUUCAGUUAUAUCCAAACACGGUGUUUUCAUGCAAUUUGAUGAACUGGUAACACUUUCAGAAGAAGAGAAAGUAAAAAUGAUUAGGUUGAUUUGUUGGUUUAGAGUAUUCUGUCAAUGGUCAGACGGAUAGUCAUUCUGAAUGAUCUCAACAUUAGGGAUGAUGGGAAGAACUGACCCAUAGAUGUUCCUAUAUCUCAUUUCUUUUAGGACACGCUCUUGGGAGAAACACUCCAGUGCAAUUUGUCUGGGCUUCUCAGUUGGUUGCUCUUUGCCUUAUGCUGUUUCACCUUAAUAAGCUCAUUCCACUCUUACUUUUAGUCCAUGGCAAGGUUUAAAACAUUUUCCAACACUUUAUUAUGGGAAUUUUUAAACAUACAGAACAGAUAAAAGAAAUCUACGGGGAACACAUGUAUCUAUCAUUGGAUUGUACAGUUAACAUUUUACUAUACUUGCUUUAUUACAAAUCUACUUAUUUCUCUAUGCACCCAUUGAUCCACUUCAUUUUUGGGGACACAUUUCAAAGUAAUUUGCUGACAUCAAUCAGUACAUUUUUCCCUAAAUGCUUCAGUAUACAUAUCAACAACUAUAGUUUAAUAUUUAUUUAUAGUUCAUUUUCUUUCCUGUGAGGUAAAAUUUACACACAGGAAAUGCACAAAUCUUAGGUGAACCAUUUGAUGAGUUUUAACUAAUGUGUGCAUCUGCAUAACUCAAACUUCUGUCCAGAGAGAACUUUACUGUACCUGCGAGUUCCCUCAUGCCUCCGCCCUGGGGUACUUCCCUGCCUCCGCACCACUCCCCCACCAGACAAUCACUGCUCUGAUUUUUUUCCAUCAUAGAUAUCCAUCCUAGAACUUCAUGUAGUUAGAAUAAUACAAUAUGUCUUUUGUGUAACAAUUCUUUCACUCAGCAUAACGUUUUUGCGUUUUUGCGAUUCAUCCAUGUUAUUGCAUGUCCCCAUUGUUUGUUAAGCACUUCCUUAUUUUCUGGCAUAAGAUGAUGUUUCAGGUUCAACUUGUACUUUCCCUGUUCUAGGCCUGGAAUCAGCCAUUUUCCCAAGGACCUCUGGUUUCCUUUAAUAAAGGGUAUAUUCAGAGACCAAGAUUUGGGCACUCAAUGUUUUAAUUGCUACUGGGGUGUCAUUGCUUUUAGGCUCAUUCACUCCGUGGACAGACAUAGGAAAUACACACACACACACACACACACACACAUACGUACACACACACAUAUAUAUGAGAUAUAUAUGUGUGUUAAUAUAUGUAUAUAUACAUACACACAUAUACAUCUGUAACUAUUUCUGUAUUUAUCUGUGUGUAUGUAUAUAUUUACACACACCAACACACAUAAUAAUAAAAGCUAAGUUCAUACUGAUACUGUGGUUUCAAUCCAAACCCUCAUGGUUUUCUAGACUUCCUGUUUCAAUGUUUGUAAAUACCUUCUCUGGCAAUGAGAAUUUUGGCUCCUAUUAUCCUAGUAUAUUUACUUAUUGGCUCAAUCUCCCAACCACGCCCGCUGUCUCUUCCGCCCACCACCUCCACAUCCUGCCUCUUUACCCUGUGUCUCACCCCCUCCUGCCCUGCAUCCAUGCCUCUGCAUGGCUUCCUCAACCCCCUCACCAUCCUGUGAUUUCAGUUGCUGUGCUGAGUUCUCCAUGCUGGGAAGGGAAGUAGAGGGAGCAGGCAACACAUUUUGAAGGGAUAAAACCCAAGUGAACAAAACCAUUUACUCCAUUUGCAGUAGUUCUAUUUCUUAAUUCCUGUUCCUAAAUUUUUUUUUUUUUUUUUUUGGCUGUGUUGGGUCUUUGUUGCUGUGCACAGGCUUUCUCUAGUUGUGGUGAGCUGGGGCUACUCUUUGUUGCAGUGUGAGGUCUUCUCAUUGCGGUGGCUUCUCUUGUUGUGGAGCACGGGCUCUAUCAUGUAUCUAUCAAUGGUCAGACAGAUAGUCUGCUCUAGGAACGUGGGCUUCAGUAGCAACACGCGGGCUCAGUAGUUGCGGCUUGUGGGCCCUGGAGUGCGCGAGCUUCAGUUGUUGCGGCGCCCGGGCUUAGUUGCUCUGUGGCAUGUGGGAUCUUCCCGGACCAGGGAAUGAACCUGUGUCCCCUGCAUUGGCAGGUGGAUUCUUCACCACUGCGUCACCAGGGAAGUCCUGUUCCUAAAUUUUUACAGAGAAAAGCACCGAGUCUUUAAAAAAGAGAAAGGGAACGAUGGAGUGGAGCAAGUUACAAUUUUAUUUAAAGUCCCAAGCAGAAGACUUUUUUUUAAGGAUUUAUUUAAUUAAUUAAUUAUAACAUCUUUAUUGGAGUAUAAUUGCUUUACAAUGUUGUGUUAGUUUCCACUGUAUAACAAAGUGAAUCAACUAUAUGUAUACAUAUAUCCCCAUAUCCCCUCCCUCUUGCAUCUCCCACCCUCCCUAUCCCACCCCUCUAGGUGGUCACAGAGCACAGAGCUGAUCUCCCUGUGCUAUGCGGCCCAAGCAGAAGACUUUUAACAGGCUAUUAGAAUGAUAACCUGUGCUUGCUGUGAAAUCAGCUCAAAGCCUUCCUGAUGUUGCCCAGCACGGGCUAACGCUGCUCUGUAACAAGUGAACACACUGAUGGCCUUCAAAGGCGUCAGUCAGUCAUAAGGAGUAUUAGCAGAAGCUUCCAUUGCCGAAGUGUUGGCUGUCCUUGGGCAGGCACAGCAGGCGAGGGUCCCAGCCAUUUGCACCAGUCCUCCAGCCUUGGCAUUCACGAGGUCUCAGCUGUGACAAGCCUGUAGGCAUCAAGGUCAGGCCUUCACCCACUGACUUGAGCUUCCUUGGGGUUUCUCAUCAGAGCCUUUGCCUAUCACCUUAGGGGAGAAACCCUGCCAGAGUUCCUUUCACAUUUCCUAAGUCCAAGAAAUAAUCUGGCUUUGGGAAAACAAUCUGAUAACUCUUUCUGGAAGUUGUGGGAGGUAGCGACCCCUUGAGUGCACCAGGCAGCGUGUAGGGUUGGCUCUUUCGUUUCGAGUAGCUUAAUUUGCUUAUCAGAUUGCAUAAAGCUGGGUGCUCUCAGGGUCUGCUUCUAUCUCUGGCCACACACUCCCUUCUGACCAGGGAACCCACUUGAUCAUCUCUGAAAUAUGCCACAUUUGUAGGCUUAAGGCAGCCCUGACCUAAAAUAAGGAUGGCAGAUUUGUUUCAAGACAUGUACUAGCUCUGAUUAAUUGUUCGCAUAGGCCUGAGAGAGCUGUAUAGUAAAGGACUUUGUGGCCUCAUCAGGGCCCAAUAGGAAAGAGUACUGUAAUUGAUUAGUUACGUCUGCCGUGAGCAUGGCAGGGAAGACUGGGGUAAAUGGGCACCGUAUUUGUCAUCCCUAUCCUAGGAUUUAACCUCAUGUUCCACCACAAGAUAGGUAAGAAAGUUUUGCCUGAGGUAGACAGUAAUUAUCUUAACUUCAAAACUGCCUGAUUGGCAGUAUCUCGUGUCUGUUGUCCUUAUUUAUUUUAUUAAUAUUUUGGCCAAGUGUGUUCUCUGACGAAUAACAAGAAAGAAAGAGAAAAAUGAAUAUUCAUUGAACAUCUACUAAUUGUCAGUUCCUUCUUUUAGGAGCUUUAUUAAAUAUCUCUCAUGAUAUAUUCAAAACAAUCUUAUAAAAUCAGAAUAUUAUUCCCCUUCUUAAAAUAAUAAAGAAAUUAAGCCUCAGAGAAGAAAAUAUUUGCCUAAACCAUAAUAGAACAUCUCAAAUCCAAGGGUGAUACUCAUUCUGAUAUGCUUGGACAGUGGUUCUCACUCUUAGGAACAUAUUAGAAUCUCCUGGAAAGAUUUUAAAAACAUUUGAAAAUUUUGAUGACUGCAUCUUGUCAAUUACAUCAGAACCUCUGGGGUAGGGGAGACUCAGGCAUAGGAAUGGGUUAAAAAUUUUCCAGUUGAUUCUAAUCUGCAGUCACUGGGCCAAGGGGUAGGGAGCAGGAUAAUUUAUAUUUAUAGAAUGCCCAUUCUGAGCCUAGCUCCCUGCCCUGCCAUAUUCUAUCUAAUUUAAUUCUCAUGUAAUUUCUCAAAGAAAAAACUAUUAGCCUCUUUUUACCUAUGAGGAAAAUGGAGGCUCAUAAAACAAAGAAAUUCCUGAAGAUCUUGCAGUAGAACUGGGAUUUGAAUGCAAGUCUGUUUGCUUCCAAAGUACUUGCUCUUUCCAUGGCACCAUGCUUUUUUUGUUAAGUUUCUGAACCAAGGCUCCACCCUUAACCUUAGUUAUGAGCAAAUCUGGAUUCUGCCUAGUUUCCGUAUCUGACCCCAACUUGUCAUUCCCUUCCUUGACUUGGUUCCAGCUUCAGCUGGAAGCACCCUUCUGAGCAUUUGGUUUCAUGGUCGAGAAAUGCAAGAGGCACCCCCUAAAGUUACCACCUUCUAUCCUGUGGGCUUUGGGCAGCUCAGAGCAAGGCUGUUUCCAGAGCCAGGGAUCCUGCACAGUGACCUCGACUGCAGGAUCUCUGAUGUCCAGGCCAGAUAAGUGUAGAGUCCCUUCUUUGGACACGAGGCAGUUCAAAGAGAUACAGAAGAGUUGUGGCCUGAGGUCCUAAUCCUGUUAAUUGAGGGCACCUGUGUGCCUGCUUGGCUGUUUCAAUGUCACAUUGACUUCAGCUCCUUAGGUCAGAAUCAGGAGUCUCCAUGAGAUAGCUGAGUGAACAGGAGAACCUCAGAGCUGGAUUGGACCUCCAGCUUGAUUUAGUUCCACACCUCCCCAAGGCCAAAAAGCCCUGUCAGCACCAUUGUCUGAAACAAAUGAGACUGUUUAAAUAUUUCCUGGGGAAGGAAUGGCACAAUCUCUCCCAUUAAUUGAUACAUUGUUAGGCAGCUCAGAAACACUUUUAAAAUUAAGCCUGUAUAUUGCUCUCUACAAUUUUCAAGUUCUUCAGCUGAUUGAUUUUCCUCAAUCUUAUCAAAGACUAAUUUCUAUAAAGUUGAUCCAUCAUCCAAGUAGUUGGUACAAAUUAGGUUGGACUAAGCAAGGUCAGUUCCAGGCCAAAUUAUGAAUAAGGUUCUCCAGCGGAGUUUACUUUCAUUGUCCUUAAUCAUGUGUUUUCCUUUAGGGACAGCCCCUUCUCACCCUCUCCAGUCUAACUUUUCUUCCCCCAUCAGAAUUCCCGCUGUCAGAAAAAAUUUGGAAACUUAGCCACCAGGGGUAAGUGAAUGAUAAAACAUGAUUGAUCUCCUCCUAAGAGCAUUUAUACUUUUUUUUUUUUUAAGGAUGAAGGCUUGAAAGGUUUGGCAUAAAGGAAUAAAAUGAAUCUUAGUCAUCAGGCAGCUUAAGGGAGGGUGGGGUAAGGGAACAUAGCUUCCCAGCAAUUCUGAUAUUGAAACAGCACGUAAAACAUUGAUCAGCUUCAGCUAGUUUUGCCUCCUUAAACAGAGCGUUGAUUAAUCAAAUUGAAACAGCACCAGCUUAAACUGGUUUUGCCUCUGUAACUAGGUUGAUUAAUCAAACCUUGAGUU